rnacentral:rRNA from 1 species
AGAGUUUGAUCCUGGCUCAGAUUGAACGCUGGCGGCAUGCCUUACACAUGCAAGUCGAACGGCAGCACGGGAGCAAUCCUGGUGGCGAGUGGCGAACGGGUGAGUAAUAUAUCGGAACGUGCCCAGUCGUGGGGGAUAACGUAGCGAAAGCUACGCUAAUACCGCAUAAGAUCUACGGAUGAAAGCGGGGGAUCGCAAGACCUCGCGCGAGUGGAGCGGCCGAUGGCAGAUUAGGUAGUUGGUGAGGUAAAGGCUCACCAAGCCUGCGAUCUGUAGCUGGUCUGAGAGGACGACCAGCCACACUGGAACUGAGACACGGUCCAGACUCCUACGGGAGGCAGCAGUGGGGAAUUUUGGACAAUGGGCGCAAGCCUGAUCCAGCAAUGCCGCGUGCAGGAUGAAGGCCUUCGGGUUGUAAACUGCUUUUGUACGGAACGAAAAGGUCUCUUCUAAUAAAGGGGGCCCAUGACGGUACCGUAAGAAUAAGCACCGGCUAACUACGUGCCAGCAGCCGCGGUAAUACGUAGGGUGCGAGCGUUAAUCGGAAUUACUGGGCGUAAAGCGUGCGCAGGCGGUUAUAUAAGACAGUUGUGAAAUCCCCGGGCUCAAACCUGGGAACUGCAUCUGUGACUGUAUAGCUAGAGUACGGUAGAGGGGGAUGGAAUUCCGCGUGUAGCAGUGAAAUGCGUAGAUAUGCGGAGGAACACCGAUGGCGA